GAUGAAGAACGUAGCGAAAUGCGAUACGUAAUGUGAAUUGCAGAAUUCAGUGAAUCAUCGAGUCUUUGAACGCACAUUGCGCCCCCUGGUAUUCCGGGGGGCAUGCCUGUCCGAGCGUCAUUGCUGCCCUCAAGCACGGCUUGUGUGUUGGGCCCCGUCCUCCGAUUCCGGGGGACGGGCCCGAAAGGCAGCGGCGGCACCGCGUCCGGUCCUCGAGCGUAUGGGGCUUUGUCACCCGCUCUGUAGGCCCGGCCGGCGCUUGCCGAUCAACCCAAAUUUUUAUCCAGGUUGACCUCGGAUCAGGUAGGGAUACCCGCUGAACUUAAGAAUAUCAAUAAGCGGAGGA
rnacentral:misc_RNA from 1 species